UUCUCCGGCGCCAGGGGGACCGGGACGCAGGAGUCCCUUUGCGCCCCCAGCGCCUGGCUGCGCCGCUGCCCUGACCCAGACGCCGCCGUGCGCCCAGAGGCCUCCAGGGGCUGGGGCUGGAGCCGCCCAGCCCCCCGGCUCCCCAGCGCCGGCCACUUUGGUCCCUGGACUGUGUCGCGCCUAAAGGCCCGCGUUCCCGCAGCCUGUGAAGACCCGCGGAAGACCUGGCGGUUGGGAAGAGGUCGCCAAAGGCGACACACCAGCGUCCAGCUCCCGGCCAAGCCCAGUGAGUCUGCAGGAACCAGACCCUUCACCCUUCACCUGGCUUGGGACUCGGAGCUGCAGGAAGAUCUUUCUAGUUCAGCGUAGACUCAACGCCAGGGCGCCGCCUAGAGGACGCGAGGGGAUGUAAACCGUUUGAAGUUCAUCAACACGGUGAAGUUUUAUUGUAUUUCCGGUCCCCAAGAUUUAUACCCGGGAGGGGGAGCGGGCGGCCAGGCAGACUUCUUCGCUC